CUUUUGGCGAUACAUCCACUAAAACAAGGAUUGAAAC
rfam:Desulfobacca acetoxidans DSM 11109, complete genome.